UUUGACCGACGACGUUUGACAGUUCUCUUCAGUUGAACUUGUUCGGACUUGAUUGCAACCGAGUCGAACAAAUUGUUGUUGGUUUUAGGCUUUGGGAGGAUUUUGGCCAGUUUAAAGAUUGCGGUCUUCGUGGCGGUAUAGGAGGAAGAGGAGGACGGGAAAUAUGGAUUACUCGGCGAGCCAUUCCGGAAGACGGGACGGGAAGGAACCAGUUUGCGAUCGAGGAAGCCGUUAGUGUUUGGUGUUUUACUUUCCACGGGAGGUUGCCUCCAUAUCUAAUGGAACUGGCAACAAACAUAUUC